ACAUGGUGGAAGAAUCUGCUCACUCUCUAGCUACACAGGGCCAGUUUUAAGGAGAAAAUGGGCACAGCAGGCCACCUUAUCCCCCAUCUCUGCUGGAGCAAAUAGGAACUGGUGCUGAAAUCUCUUUCAGCUCCACAAAUGAUGAUCUGGUAACCGGAGAUGAGCCGUGAUGCAAACACCCGAACAACAGCAGCUGUCUAGCACAUGUAAAAAUGACAUUUAGCUCAAAUGAAAUUAUGCUGCUGAGUCAUGAUGUUAACCUUGUAAAUUCCGAAACUGGUUUAAGCUAGUGCCAU